rnacentral:rRNA from 1 species
CCUACGGUGGGCAGCAGUGGGGGAUAUUGCACAAUGGGGGGAACCCUGAUGCAGCGACGCCGCGUGGGUGAAGGAGUGCUUCGGCAUGUAAAGCCCUAUCGACAGGGAAGAAGCAAGACGGUACCUGACUAAGAAGCACCGGCUAACUACGUGCCAGCAGCCGCGGUAAUACGUAGGGGGCGAGCGUUAUCCGGAUUUACUGGGUGUAAAGGGAGCUUAGACGGCUAAUCAAGUCAGAAGUGAAAACCCAGGGCUCAACUUUGGGACUGCUUUUGAAACUGAGUAGCUAGAGUGCAGGAGAGGUAAGCGGAAUUCCUAGUGUAGCGGUGAAAUGCGUAGAUAUUAGGAGGAACACCAGUGGCGAAGGCGGCUUACUGGACUGUAACUGACGUUGAGGCUCGAAAGCGUGGGGAGCAAACAGGAUUAGAUACCCUUGUAGUC